AAAAUCAAUCAAGAAGGGAAGCCCGGCAUAAAGGAAGGAAAUUGCCAGCCACAGGCCUCACCUGGGAUCCAGACAUCCUCACUGUGUUAUCUCUUUGGGAACCUCAAGUCCUUCACCUGCAACUGCCUGCCCUUAAUCGCAGCAACUUUCUCACUGCUCGAGUCUGAGACAGAGAUAUGACAUUUCCCAUGUUUGCACCUGAAUUCCUCAUUUCCUCACAUGGGAAGUAGGGCUGCAGGCUCACUGCCAGGCCAGGCAGCAGCCACACGCGGAGAAUUUGCAUCCGCCGCCAGGGAGGGGAGCGGUGGAGCCAGGCGCAGCUCUGCAGCAGGCUCUCCACGAGAAAUGUGUAAAUGAAGCAGGAGGUUGAGACCCUUAUCCGCUGCAUCUGGAAAAAUCAUCCGGCACGGGCCAGGGGUCCCUGGCUGCCCCACAGCAGCCCGGAGCGCAGGGUUUCC